rnacentral:rRNA from 1 species
UCCCUAUGGGGUGCAGCAGGCGCGAAACCUCCACAAUGCGCGAAAGCGUGAUGGGGUUAGCCCGAGUGCUGUCCGAAAAGGAUGGCUUUUCCUUGGUGUAAAAACCCAUGGGAAUAAAGGGGGGGCAAGACUGGUGUCAGCCGCCGCGGUAAUACCAGCUCCCUGAGUGGUAAGGACGAUUAUUUGGCUUAAAGCGUCCGUAGCCGGCUUAGUGAGUCUUUUGUUAAAUCCAAUGAUUUAAUCAUUGAACUGCAAGAGAUACUGCUAUGCUAGAGGACGGGAGAGGUCGACGGUAGUCCAGGGGUAGGGGUGAAAUCCUAUAAUCCUUGGAGGACCACCAGUGGCGAAGGCGGUCGACUAGAACGUGCCUGACGGUGAGGGACGAAAGCUGGGGGAGCGAACCGGAUUAGAUACCCGGGUAGUCCCAGCUGUAAACGAUGCGGGCUAGGUGUAGGGGCAGCUACGAGCUGCUCCUGUGCCGCAGAGAAAUUGUUAAGCCCGCCGCCUGGGGAGUACGAUCGCAAGAUUGAAACUUAAAGGAAUUGGCGGGGGAGCACCACAAGGGGUGAAGGCUGCGGUUUAAUUGGAUUCAACGCCGGAA